GACUCUGGGUUCGAUCCUCAGCACCACAUAUAAAUAAAUAAAAUAAAGGUGUUUAAAAAAAGAAAAGAAAAUUUCAAGGCAAUCCAGUGUUAAAAACCAUGUUUUGUUUUAUUUUUAAGUUUAUAAGCUGAUGCAAAAACUGAUAGAGCAGGGCAAAGUGUACUUACUCUUCCAUACUAAUAGACUAAGUUGUGCUAUAUACAUACAUGGAUAUCAAUAGGGAAUCCACCCCUAUGUAAAUCUAUAAAGUACCAAUUAAAAAAAAACUAAAAAUAAAUAUAAGGAAGACCAGUAGAAUAGAGGAAGGGAACAAAAGGGAAAACAGAGGAGACGGAAAGGGACUGUUCUGGAGACUUAAGUAGAGUAAAUCAUAGGCCAUGCUUGUAAUGAUUAUAUCAUACAAACCCUAAUGCUAUGUAUGACUGAAUUGCACUGGUAAAAAAUUAAUAAAUGAAUGAAUUAGAAGUGAAAUAUUUGUUAAAGGAUGGUAAAAUGCCAUAUGAAAUAGUGUGGUACAUUUAGAAACAAAUUUCUGCGUGUGUAGUCAAAGCAAAUUACAGAGGGGGCAUCUUAAAUCAGAGGAACAAAGAUAGUCAAUCAACAAAUGAUGCUAGGAUUAUUGACUUUAUAUGAAAAAGGUGAAGUGAAUCCCACCCCACACUACACACACACACACACACACACAAUCAAUCAAUCAAUCAAUUCUAGAUAUACUUAAAAUUUAAAUGCAAAAAUCAGAAUUCAUUUUGAGGGCAAAAUGUAGGAAAAAAAUCCCUGUAAAUCUGCAGUAAAGAAAGAAUUUCCCAAAUAACACAUAUAUAAGAAACUAUAAAGAAAAAAAUUUGACAAAUUUGACCAUAAAAAAAUUAAAAUCUGCACAACUAAAAGAAUCAUAAAGAAAAUUAAAAGAAUUUGUGUCAUGUGUAAAAUUAGUGACCAGAAUAUAAAAUGCACUUCUUUAGAGUAAGAUAAGACAAUCAAAAAAAAUUUAGAACACGUUUGGACAGGAAAUUCACAAAUGCAACAAUAUGAAUGAUCAAUAUACACAUGAAAAAAGUUCAAUCUCAUCAAAGUAAAUAUACAUUAGAACCAAAAGGUGUAAACUGAAAUCACAAUGUGGGAAAAUGUGAAUUAUCAUUUAGUGCUGACCUGUAUAAAAAUCGGCACUUGGAAGGCAUUUUGGCAUCAUUGUAUGUAAACAGGAUAGGGAUAUUUCCUAACCCCAUGACUCUUCUCCUAGAAGAUUUCUUGCAUUAUAUACUUAUGUUGUUAUGUACGUGAAUACUUAUUGCAACAUUGUUUUUGACAAAAAAAAAAAUGGAAAACAAAUAUUAUCAAGAAAAGAGGGCUAAGUAAAUUGUGGUUUGGUCAUGCAGUGCAAUGUCUUGCAG
rnacentral:lncRNA from 1 species